GACAGAGGGUGCAAGCGUUGUUCGGAAUUAUUGGGCGUAAAGCGCGUGUAGGCGGCUUUGCAAGUCGGGCGUGAAAUCCCUAGGCUCAACCUAGGAACUGCACUCGAAACUGUUUAUCUUGAGUGCCGGAGAGGAAAGCGGAAUUCCUGGUGUAGAGGUGAAAUUCGUAGAUAUCAGGAGGAACACCAGUGGCGAAGGCGGCUUUCUGGACGGUAACUGACGCUGAGACGCGAAAGCGUGGGGAGCAAACAGG
rnacentral:rRNA from 1 species